UACGGAGGGUGCAAGCGUUAUCCGGAUUCACUGGGUUUAAAGGGUGUGUAGGCGGGCAAUUAAGUCAGUGGUGAAAUCUCCAGGCUCAACCUGGAAACUGCCAAUGAUACUAUUUGUCUUGAAUACUGUUGAGGUGGGCGGAAUAUGUCAUGUAGCGGUGAAAUGCAUAGAUAUGACAUAGAACACCAAUUGCGAAGGCAGCUCACUAAGCAGGUAUUGACGCUGAGGCACGAAGGCGUGGGGAUCAAACAGG
rnacentral:rRNA from 1 species